rnacentral:misc_RNA from 1 species
GAUGCGGCGGACGACGGUCGGCUGACUGACUCCGAGCGCUUCUGCGGCACGGCCGGUGGUCCGCUCGCGAUAGAGCGCCAGAAAUACCGGAAUGUCGUCCCAGGCGAACACUGGGACCUAGCUAUUCACAUCUGCAUACCCCCUUGCAA